rnacentral:rRNA from 1 species
CCCUUCACUACGGAAUAGUCCCGGGAAACUGGGUUUAAUACCGUAUACGCCCUUCGGGGGAAAGAAUUUCGGUGAGGGAUCGGCCCGCGUUAGAUUAGUUAGUUGGUGGGGUAAUGGCCUACCAAGACUACGAUCUAUAGCUGGUUUGAGAGGAUGAUCAGCAACACUGGGACUGAGACACGGCCCAGACUCCUACGGGAGGCAGCAGUGGGGAAUCUUAGACAAUGGGGGCAACCCUGAUCUAGCGAUGCCGCGUGAGUGAUGAAGGCCUUAGGGUCGUAAAGCUCUUUCGCCUGUGAUGAUAAUGACAGUAGCAGGUAAAGAAACCCCGGCUAACUCCGUGCCAGCAGCCGCGGUAAUACGGAGGGGGUUAGCGUUGUUCGGAAUUACUGGGCGUAAAGCGCACGUAGGCGGAUUAGUCAGUCAGAGGUGAAAUCCCAGGGCUCAACCCUGGAACUGCCUUUGAUACUGCUAGUCUUGAGUUCGAGAGAGGUAAGUGGAAUUCCGAGUGUAGAGGUGAAAUUCGUAGAUAUUCGG